rnacentral:pre_miRNA from 7 species
UUCAAGUAAUUCAGGAUAGGUUGUGUGCUGUCCAGCCUGUUCUCCAUUACUUGGCUC